rnacentral:rRNA from 1 species
UACGAAGGGUGCAAGCGUUACUCGGAAUCACUGGGCGUAAAGCGUGCGUAGGCGGUUCGUUAAGUCUGCUGUGAAAGCCCUGGGCUCAACCUGGGAACUGCAGUGGAUACUGGCGGACUAGAGUGUGAUAGAGGAUGGUGGAAUUCCCGGUGUAGCGGUGAAAUGCGUAGAGAUCGGGAGGAACACCAGUGGCGAAGGCGGCCAUCUGGAUCAACACUGACGCUGAGGCACGAAAGCGUGGGGGAGCAAACAGGAUUAGAAACCGUCGU